AUUUCUGUUCUUAAAUUUAAUUGCCAAGCAUCUCUUAAUACUGAUAUGUGGGCUUCCUUAAUUCUCUUGCACAUUGAGCCAUGUCUGAAACAGGAUUAGUUUUCAGCUUAAAUGAAUACUGCAGCUUGAUAAAUUCAAGUGAAUGGCUAAUUCAAGUAUACUCAAACUGCAUUAUUUACAAAACUGGGAUCCUCCCUAUCAGAACUCUGUGGGAAGGAGCAACUACAGGAUGCACUGAAAAUUAAUCUCAGAUAAGCAAGCUGAUCAGGGA
rnacentral:lncRNA from 1 species